rnacentral:lncRNA from 1 species
ACUCUGGCUGGAACUCCCUCUGAGGAGACUCUGUCCCUCUGAAUCCUUGCUUGGACAGAUCUUGUGGUAAUAUGUGUUCAAAGGAAGAGAAGAGAAGAGAAGAGCCAAAAGUGAAAGAAAAUCAAUUCUGAAAUCUAAAUACAUGAAGUAACUACAGUAAGGAUGGAGAGGACUUUUGGCAGACUUUUGGCAGAGUAUAAAUUCCUAAUAGCCUCCCGAACACUGAGCUAGCUCUGGCAAUGCACCUGGCAAUCUCAUCAUCUAUCAUUUCGCUGGAAAGUAAACUGCCACUUGGGGCCAAACAUUUGAGAUGAAAUCCUAUCUAAUGGAGAUAUUCAAAGGACUAUAAGGAAAUUUUCAUUUUUGCAUAUUGACAGAAGAAAAGAAUAAUGUACAAGCUCAUAAUUUAGGCUUCUGUUUAUACUUCUAUUAUGAAGGCUAAUUCAUUUCUUAAUGUGCAAUAGAUCUUAAGGGUUGAUUGAAAGCAACACUACAUGAAAGCAUAAUUGCGCUUUUCAUGACAUUGAAACAUGAUUGUGGAAGUUAAAAUACUUUUUGUUUUCACUUAUAACUACAUAUUAUGUAAAACAACUAAUAAAAUGCC